rnacentral:rRNA from 1 species
CUACGGGGCGCAGCAGGCGCGAAAACUUUACAAUGCGGGAAACCGUGAUAAGGGAACUCCGAGUGUCCGUCAAUGCGGACUGUCCGUAUGUUUAAAAAGCAUGCGAAGAAAGGGCCGGGCAAGACCGGUGCCAGCCGCCGCGGUAAUACCGGCGGCUCGAGUGGUGGCCACGAUUACUGGGCUUAAAGCGUUCGUAGCUGGGUUGUUAAGUCUCUUGGGAAAUCUACCGGCUUAACCGAUAGGCGUCCAAGGGAUACUGGCAAUCUAGGGACCGGGAGAGGUGAGGGGUACUUCAGGGGUAGGAGUGAAAUCCUGUAAUCCUUGGGGGACCACCUGUGGCGUAGGCGCCUCACCAGAACGGCUCCGACAGUGAGGGACGAAAGCUGGGGGAGCAAACCGGAUUAGAUACCCGGGUAGUCCCAGCCGUAAACGAUGCGCGUUAGGUGUAUCGAUGACCACGAGUCAUCGAGGUGCCGAAGGGAAACCGUGAAACGCGCCGCCUGGGAAGUACGGUCGCAAGGCUGAAACUUAAAGGAAUUGGCGGGGGAGCACCACAACAGGUGGAGCCUGCGGUUUAAUCGGACUCAACGCCGGAAAUCUCACCGGAUAAGACAGCUGAAUGAUAGCCGGGCUGAAGACUCUGCUUGACUAGCUGANAGGAGGUGCAUG